rnacentral:rRNA from 1 species
UCCUAGCUCAGGAUGAACGCUAGCUACAGGCUUAACACAUGCAAGUCGGGGGGCAGCAUUUUAGUUUGCUUGCAAACUAAAGAUGGCGACCGGCGCACGGGUGAGUAACACGUAUCCAACCUGCCGAUAACUCAGGGAUAGCCUUUCGAAAGAAAGAUUAAUACCUGAUGGCAUAGGAUUAUCGCAUGAUAAUCCUAUUAAAGAAUUUCGGUUAUCGAUGGGGAUGCGUUCCAUUAGGCAG